rnacentral:rRNA from 1 species
UGCCAUGGCGUUGACGGGAGCGGGGGAUUAGGGUUCGAUUCCGGAGAGGGAGCCUGAGAAAUAGCUACCACUUCUACGGAGGGCAGCAGGCGCGCAAAUUGCCCAAUGUCAAAACAAACGAUGAGGCAGCGAAAAGAAAUAGAGCCGACAGUCCCAUCUGGGAUUGUCGUAUUCAAUGGGGGUUAUUUAAUACCAUCCAAUAUCGAGUAACAAUUGGAGGACAAGUCUGGUGCCAGCACCCGCGGUAAUUCCAGCUCCAAAAGCGUAUAUUAAUGCUGUUGCUGUUAAAGGGUUCGUAGUUGAAUUGAGGGCCUCUGAGGCGCACUGGUAUGUCCCGUUCACUUCGAAUUGGUGACCCAGGCCCUUGUGGUCCGUGAACAUUCAGAAACAAGAAACACGGGAGUGGUUCCUUCCUGAUUUUCGCAUGUCAUGCAUGCCAGGGGGCGCCCGUGAUUUUUACUGUGACUAAAAAAGUGUGACCAAAGCAGUCAUCCGACUUGAAUUAGAAAGC